GCAUCCGCACCACCCAGCCAGCAACAUAGAAGAGGCCCUCCUCCAUGAUGCAAUCACCAUGUCCUCACUGUGAAGUCCUGCUGAAGCAUCCGCACCACCCAGCCAGCAACAUAAAAGAGGCCCUCCUCCAUGAUGCAAUCACCAACAGUCUACAAAAGUAAACAUCAAUUGGUUCUGCUGUGGGUGAAAGAGGCAGGGCCAAUGAGAUGGUUGGAGGCAUCAGCAGACCUGUGGUUGCGGAGGUUGAUAGAGUCGCCCCAUUGGAUGAGGUGAGAAGUAUGACACCAUCAUCCACCUCACAAUUGGAUGUGACUGAAGAGAGGGCAGGCAGAAUAUUCGACACACUGAGUCCCCUGAGCGCAGCGGGGACUCCCGUGCACUGGGGUUAUACUUAUGGCCACCUUUUCCCCGGACCAAGGAGAAGAGAUUCUACCAAAAAACAAAAGGGGGAGAAAAAAGGUUUGAGCCCUCAACCUCAAAACUGACCCUGUGGCCCUCCGCUGCAGCAGAACUGGUCCUUGAGUACCGCCAGAAUGGGACCACUACCUAGAAGAUCAAGAGGGUGGACAGGGUGUGCAUGGAGGCAAGGGACACAGUGGCACUGAAAGGAGGCGACACCAGAGCGUGAUGUGCGCAGGCUGAUUGGUCGGGCGUCGAUACAGCUGUGUGAGCUAAAUCAAAGGAUACUCUCCCAAUGAGGGAGACGGAGAGGACUGUGGUGGCACCUUGACCAGGCACUGCAGACGGGCUCAGCAGGGUCGACCCAGAACCCAGCAGCAUCGGCAACGUAUCGUCCAGCAGCAGUGAACCCACAGCCCAGCAGCAGUGGCGGUGUAUCGUCUGACAGCAGCGGCCGGUUCAGCAGUGGCGGUGUAUCGUCUGACAGCAGCCGACCCAGGGCCCAGCAGCAUCGGCAACGUAUCGUCCAGCAGCAGCUGACCCAGGGCCCAGCAGUGACAGCAGCGCACCCAGGACCCAAUAGUGGACCCAAUGGCGCUGUAUCAUCCAGCAGCAGCGGACCCAGGGCCAGCAGCAGUGUCUAAGUGUAUCGUGCAGCAGCCGACCCGCACACACACACACACACACACACACUUUGCCUUCUUCAGCUGGUGUUCAUUUAGUCAUAGAAUGCUGUUCUCCAAUGUUCUGUAUCACUUAAUAUAAUCCUUAAUAUAGUCUU